rnacentral:rRNA from 1 species
UACGUAUGGGGCAAGCGUUAUCCGGAUUUACUGGGUGUAGAGGGAGCGCAGGCGGCCUGGCAAGCCUGAUGUGAAAUACCGGGGCCCAACCCCGGGGCUGCAUUGGGAACUGCCAGGCUGGAGUGCCGGAGAGGCAGGCGGAAUUCCUAGUGUAGCGGUGAAAUGCGUAGAUAUUAGGAGGAACACCAGUGGCGAAGGCGGCCUGCUGGACGGUGACUGACGCUGAGGCUCGAAAGCGUGGGGAGCAAACAGG